rnacentral:rRNA from 1 species
ACUCAAAUGAAUUGACGGGGGACCGCACAAGCGGUGGAUCGUGUUCUUUAAUUCGAUGAUAAACGAAGAACCUUACCAGGGUUUGACAUCCUUGGAAUUUCUGCGAAAGUAGAGAGUGCUUUAUUGAACCAAGUGACAGAUGAUGCAUGGCCGUCGUCAGCUCGUGUCGUGAGAUGUUAGGUUAAGUCCUUUAACGAGCGCAACCCUUGUGAAUAGUUGUAUUUUUCUAUUCAGACUGCCCCGGCAACGGGGAGGAAGGAGGGGAUGAGGUCAGGUCAGUAUUUCUCUUACACCCUGGGCUAGAAACACGAUACAAUGGUUAGUACAAUGCGCAGCGAAGCCGCGAGGUGGAGCAAAUCGCAUCAAAGCUAAUCUCAGUUCGGAUUGGAGGCUGAAACUCGCCUCCAUGAAGUCGGAAUCGCUAGUAAUCGCAAAUCAGCAAGUUGCGGUGAAUACGUUCCCGGUCCUUGUACACACCGCCCGU